GAGAGAGAGAGAGAGAGAGAGAGAGAGAGAGAGAGAGAGAGAGAGAGAGAGAGAGAGAGAGAGAGAGAGAGAGAGAGAGAGAGAGAGAGACUGUCCUCUACCAUCCUAUAAUCCAUGGGUGUAGCAGCUGAGUUACAGAAGCAAUGUUAUAUCAAGGCAUGGUGGCUUUGUGGUUGUAUAAGUACUGAAUAGUACAGAGAAAUUGUAGAACUGAUUUUUACUUUGCUUCUCUGUACAUCACACCCUGGUGCUCAUUUAGGAUAUGUUCUCUCUCUCUCUCUCUCUCUCUCUCUCUCUCUCUCUCUCUCUCUCUCUCUCUCUCUCUCUCUCUCUCUCUCUCUCUCUCUCUCUCUCUCUCUCUCUCUCUCUCUCUCUCUCUCUCUCUCUCUCUCUCUCUCUCUCUCUCUCUCUCUCUCUCUCUGAGGUUAUUGUACACUAUAUAUGAGGCACUUAGUGUUGGAAGUGCAAAUCCCCACAAAAUGAGGUUUUGAGAUAUUUGACAUUUGAAAUAUAUUAGUUUGAAUUUAUUUUACUCUUGUGGGCCAACUCCAGCCAUAACUUAUUUUUAGAUAUUUUCAUUUCAAUAUUUGUUUUUAAAAUUUGGUAGAAAAUUUCAUGAAGAUAGUUGUUUUUCAAAUCAAUACAUGCUAGUGAAGAUUUUUUUAUUGGAAAAGCAUGUAGUAUUAUCAAUAAAUUGUUUCUUUU